rnacentral:rRNA from 1 species
CUUUGACCUCGGAUCAGGUAGGGAUACCCGCUGAACUUAAGC